rnacentral:rRNA from 1 species
GACGAACGCUGGCGGCGUGCUUAACACAUGCAAGUCGAACGGAAAGGCCCUGCUUUUGUGGGGUGCUCGAGUGGCGAACGGGUGAGUAACACGUGAGUAACCUGCCCUUGACUUUGGGAUAACUUCAGGAAACUGGGGCUAAUACCGGAUAGGAGCUCCUGCUGCAUGGUGGGGGUUGGAAAGUUUCGGCGGUUGGGGAUGGACUGGCGGCUUAUCAGCUUGUUGGUGGGGUAGUGGCUUACCAAGGCUUUGACGGGUAGCCGGCCUGAGAGGGUGACCGGCCACAUUGGUACUGAGGUACGGCCCAGACUCCUACGGGAGGCAGCAGUGGGGAAUAUUGCACAAUGGGCCGAAGCCUGAUGCAGCAACGCCGCGUGCGGGAUGACGGCCUUCGGGUUGUAAACCGCUUUCGCCUGUGACGAAGCGUUAGUGACGGUAAUGGGUAAAGAAGCACCGGCUAACUACGUG